rnacentral:rRNA from 1 species
UACGUAGGGGCCUAGCGUUGUCCGGAAUUAUUGGGCGUAAAGGGCUCGUAGGCGGUCUGUUGCGUCGGGAGUGAAAACUUACAGCUUAACUGUGAGCGUGCUUCCGAUACGGGCAGACUUGAGGUAUUCAGGGGAGAACGGAAUUCCUGGUGUAGCGGUGAAAUGCGCAGAUAUCAGGAGGAACACCGGUGGCGAAGGCGGUUCUCUGGGAAUAUCCUGACGCUGAGGAGCGAAAGUGUGGGGAGGCGAACAGG